AUCCAGCUGAGUCCGAAAUAGAACGAAACGCGCGUCGUGCAU
rnacentral:hammerhead_ribozyme from 1 species